rnacentral:lncRNA from 1 species
CCCAGACAGGGCCCAGAGGGACCCUGGGCACUGAAGGGACAGCAGAGGCCAGCCCCUCCCCAUGCAGAGAUUGCCCCUUGCCACAGCACCUCAGGCCAGGGGAGGAGGGACACCCAGGCCUACAUGAGGUGAGGCCCCUCUAUACCCAGAUGCUCUUCAUUCAUUCAUCCAACAAAUAUUUUUGAGCCUCUCACAGGGACCAGGCCACAGGUGCCUCCAAGAUCUGGGCAAGCCUGCAGAACAUGGGACCCUGAUGGGCAGAGGAUAACACGGGUUCCUGCACUCCUCCCAGGAACCCAGCUGGAACAGAGUCUGGGACACAGCAGGAGCUUCUUAAUGACAGGAGACAGGAAGGUGGGCCCCCCACAGCCAUCAGACAUGAGCAGUCUCAGGCCUCACCCCAUUAUUUCACCUCCCUGUGCCUCUGUUUCCUCAUCUGUGGCUGGGGAGUGAGCUCAGAUGUGAUCACUCAGUAAGUGUAAGCAGUUAUCAUCACCACCACCAUCAUCAUUAUCAACACCAUCAUCACUACCAUCGUCAUCACCACCACCAUUACCAUCACCAUCUGCACUGUCAUCAACAUCACCAGCAGCAGCAGAACCAACACCAUCAUCAUCACUACCAUUGUCAUCACCACCACCAUUACCACUACCACCACCACCAUCUGCACUGUCAUCAUCAUCACCAGCAGCAACACCAUCACCACUAUCACCAUCAACAUCAUCACCACCACCAUCAUUAUCACCAUCAUCAUCACCACCAUCACCAUCAUCAUCAUCACCACCACCAUUACCAACACCAUCAUCACUACCAUUAUCAUCACCACUACCAUUACCACCAUCACCAUCAUCACCAUCACCACCAUCAUCACCACCAUCAUCAUCACCAUCACCACCAUCAUCACCAUCAUCAUCACCACCACCAUCAUCAUCAUCAUCAUCACCACCACCACCAUUACCAACAUCAUCAUCACUACCAUUGUCAUCACCACUACCGUUACCACCAUCACCAUCACAUCAUUCACCACCAUCAUCAUCAUCAUCACCACCAUCACCAUCAUCACCAUCAUCAUCACCACCACCAUCAUCAUCAUCAUCAUCACCACCACCACCAUUACCAACACCAUCAUCACUACCAUUGUCAUCACCACUACCAUUACCACCAUCACCACCAUCACCAUCAUCACCAUCAUCAUCACCAUCAUCAUCACCAUCACCACCAUCAUCAUCACCAUCAUCACCAUCAUCACCACCACCACCACCUCCUCCUCCCCACCACUUACCAACACCAUCCUCACUACCACUGUCAUCACCACUACCAUUACCA